GCUGUUCUUUGAUUCCAGAACAUCCUGAGGAGAGAAAGGAGGACAGGGUAUCACGGCCUAGCUCCGUCCGUGUGUUCGUCCACACGGGGAGUGGCUGGAGAGGAAAGGUCUCCCAUGGAAGUGGGGUCUGCCUCCCGUGAAAAAAUUGCCCCGAUGGUGAGAACAGGCAGCCUGACCUGCUUCUGGGGCUGCCCGUGCUGUCAAUCUCGUCCCAGGGAAGCCCCUCCAGCCCCUACCUGCCGUGCCCUAGCCCACACACACACAGCUGCGGCGACUGCGGUGGACGGAACUGGUUUUCACCCCUCCGUCAGUCACUGGCAGCACAGGGCCUCGUCCAGCUCUAAGACCAGCUGCCCCUCCCAAGAGGAGAGGAAGAAAGCCUUCCUCCUCUUUGUGAUUCAUACACGAACUGGGAAAAGGAUGGAAUGGAGCCCCCUGACCCAGGACCGUGGUGCUGCUGGCACAGACAAGCCCCUACCUGGUUGCAGGGCCCCAGCCCCGAGAGCCUGUCCCAGAUAACCUGGGUCCCACAGGCACUGCUACGCACUGAGCCAGGACCCACCACUCUCACCGUGAGCAAACACCUGGUCUCAGCCAGAAGCGUGGGCACAUAACCUCGACCCCAGCCCCCUCCAUCUGCAACAAGCCCUCCACCCUGCCCACACCCUGCCUGCCCUCCAGUUUCUGUCUGCCAUCUCUGAACCAGAAGUUCUGUUUCUCUGUGAUGGCAGAACAGACAAAGACAGGGGCCUCCAUCUGGAAGGAUUUGUCUCCGAGACAAGCCAGCCUGCCCUCACUGCGCCUCAGUGGAGACAUGCAGGCCAGCUAUGGUCUGUGUCUGCCUCCCAGACCCCAGAGGAGCUGUCCCUGAGGCUACAGGUCACCUAGCUGGCGUCACCUGUCCUUUCUAUGACACCCCCUCCCAGGACCGUCCCAGCACAGAGGAGUGCCACAGUGAACCCUGGACUCCUGGGUGAACAAUGCUUCAGCCUCCACUCACAUGUAACUCCCUCUGGGAAGCCUUCCCAGCACCCACUGCAAAGAUGCACCCAUGGCCCUGUGUUCUCCCACCCGCGGCUGAAACCAGCACAUCUCAGGUCUCACACAGAUGUGGCCUCGGCUGAGAGCUCAGGAGACUUGGCCACCCCCAGGCCUAUGUCUGGGUCCGUUGCCAGGGGUCCAAGGAGCUCAGGACAGAGGCUUGAGAGACUAAGGGCCUGACCGACUAAGCUGAAACAGGCAGUGGACUCGGGCUAGAAGGGCCAGGAGGUUAAGGAGGGGCCGGGGAAGACCUCAGAGAGACCAGAGCAAAACAGAUGAGCCCGGGGAGCUGACGGUGCACACAGGCUUGGGAGCUUGGGCCACAGGAAACCAAGGUGGCUGUGGGUCUCCACUGGAAUGACAGAGGCUGGACCACAGACAAGGAGCCCCGACCAGAGCCCAGGCCGGCCGCUGGGGGCAGGGGCACGGGGCGCUGGCCAGGAGCCUCCUACCUCCAGCUGGCGGGACACAAGGGUCAGGGCCGCGGGAUCCAGGUUGGAGGCCGCCAGCACCUCGUUGAGCUGCACCUCCUUCUUCUCCACGGCGGUGUUCAGAGCCUGCACCUUGCGCUCCAAGACGAGGUUCUUGAAGCCCACCUUCUGUUGCACCUCCAGGAUGGCCGCAGUGAACUUGCGGUACAGCUCAUCCCGCUCCUGCUGCACCUGCAGGACGGGCUGUGUGGGCGCCUCUCCAGCAAGCCCCCUCCCACCUCUCUCCCUGGGCACAAAACACCACUUUCCCCUGCCCAGCCUCAGGCAGGUGGGUCUGAUAGUCCGCACUGGCUGAGCCCCACUCUCGGUGACAGAAUUAAAGGCGUGCAGCUGUCCACACCGUGGGAGGCAGAAGGAAACAUCUCUAGGAAGUUGUCUCAGGAAGCAACAGAGACCCUGGUACCAGCUACAGAUGCCCACAGAGGGGCUGGGGCCAGCCCUGCCCUGUGUCUGGGGGACCCCCCUCCCUCUGCUGACCCAGAUCCUGGAACCCACGUCUAGAGCCCUGGAGGGGGAGGGCAUAGCUCAAGUGGUAGAGUGCACGCUUAGCAUGUAUGAGGUCCCAAGUUGAAUCCCCAGUACUUCCUAAACAAACAAACAAACAAACAAACAAAGACCUGGAGCCAACUGCCUGUCCAUCAA